CCUACGGGAGGCAGCAGUGAGGAAUAUUGGUCAAUGGACGCAAGUCUGAACCAGCCAUGCCGCGUGCAUGAAGACGGCUCUCUGAGUUGUAAACUGCUUUUGUACGAGGGUAAACGCAGAUACGCGAAUAUGUCUGAAAGUCUAGUAAGAAUCAGGACCGGCUAACUCUGCGCCAGCAGCCGCGGUAAUACGGAGGAUUCAAGCGUUAUCCGGAGUUAGUGGGUGUAAAGGGUGCGUAGGCGGUCGGAUAAGUUAGAGGUGAAAUCCCGAGGCUCAACUUCGGAAUUGCUUCUGAUACUGUUCGGCUAGAGCGUAGUAGCGGUAAGCGGAAUGUAUGGUGUAGCGGUGAAAUGCGUAGAGAUCAGACAGAACACCGGUGGCGAAGGCAGCUUAC
rnacentral:rRNA from 1 species